CCUACGGGUGGCUGCAGUAAGGAAUAUUGGUCAAUGGACGAAAGUCUGAACCAGCCAUGCCGCGUGGAGGAUGAAGGUCCUCUGGAUUGUAAACUUCUUUUAUAUGGGACGAAAAAAGGCUUUUCUAAGUCGUCUGACGGUACCAUAUGAAUAAGCACCGGCUAACUCCGUGCCAGCAGCCGCGGUAAUACGGAGGGUGCAAGCGUUACCCGGAUUAAAGGGUGUUAAAGGGUGCUGGUAUGGGUGUGGAGAAAUCCCCGAGCUUAACUUGGGAACUGCCAUUGAUACUAUCAGUCUUGAAUACCGUGGAGGUCAGCGGAAUAUGUCAUGUAGCGGUGAAAUGCUUAGAUAUGACAUAGAACACCAAUUGCGAAGGCAGCUGGCUACCCGAAUAUUGACACUGAGGCACGAAAGCGUGGGGAUCAAACAGGAUUAGAUACCCCUGUAGUC
rnacentral:rRNA from 1 species